rnacentral:rRNA from 1 species
GAUUAAGUUAUUAAGGGCGCACGGUGGAUGCCUUGGCACUAGAAGCCGAUGAAGGACGUUACUAACGACGAUAUGCUUUGGGGAGCUGUAAGUAAGCUUUGAUCCAGAGAUUUCCGAAUGGGGAAACCCAGCAUGAGUUAUGUCAUGUUAUCGAUAUGUGAAUACAUAGCAUAUCAGAAGGCACACCCGGAGAACUGAAACAUCUUAGUACCCGGAGGAAGAAAAAGAAAAUUCGAUUCCCUUAGUAGCGGCGAGCGAAACGGGAAGAGCCCAAACCAACAAGCUUGCUUGUUGGGGUUGUAGGACACUCUAUACGGAGUUACAAAGGACGACAUUAGACGAAUCAUCUGGAAAGAUGAAUCAAAGAAGGUAAUAAUCCUGUAGUCGAAAAUGUUGUCUCUCUUGAGUGGAUCCUGAGUACGACGGAACACGUGAAAUUCCGUCGGAAUCUGGGAGGACCAUCUCCU